UACGGGGGGGGCAAGCGUUGUUCGGAAUUACUGGGCGUAAAGGGCUCGUAGGCGGCCAACUAAGUCGGACGUGAAAUCCCUCGGCUUAACCGGGGAACUGCAUCCGAUACUGGAAGGCUUGAGUUUGGGAGAGGGAUGCGGAAUUCCAGGUGUAGCGGUGAAAUGCGUAGAUAUCUGGAGGAACACCGGUGGCGAAGGCGGCAUCCUGGACCAACACUGACGCUGAGGAGCGAAAGCGUGGGGAGCGAACAGG
rnacentral:rRNA from 1 species